CACAAUAUAUCUAACUUUUAUCUCUCCCUACAACAUCUUCUCUUCUUCUACUUAAACUACUCUCCCAUCCAUAUAAUAUUUGAAAAGGUUGAGGUACUCAUGAGGACCUUGAACUACAAAAAAAUGGAGGAGGUGAAAGCUUUUGACCGGCGAGAACACAAUAUUCUUAUUCCGAUUCGAGAUCAAGACACAUGUAAUUGCUGUUGGGCAAUAAUGGCGGCAGGGGCUAUCGAGUCUAUUUACAAUAUUAAGCAUUACGGUCGAUACCCAAAUAGACUUCAAGCCGCACCUCAACAUCUCAUAGAUUAUCUUCAGCCUAACCCAAAAGAACCAGGUUGUAAAGGAUGCUAUCUGUCAUCAAUAGUAAGAGCUUUUAAGUGGGUCAUAAAAAUAAUAAAAGAAUAGCUCAAGAGAAAGACUACCCAUUUAAAGCAGAAAAGGGAGAUUGCAAACAAAUUGGACUGGAAAUAUAUUCUGGUACUUUACUGGACACUCAUCCUUGGCACGCGGUCCUCAUAGUAGGUUGUGGAGAAGAGAUAAGAAGAGAUGUUACUGCAAAAUAAGCCAAAAUCAUGUUGAUACCCUGAGGUCCCAAAUAUCUGUUGGAAAUAUUUUCUUAUCCAAAGAUAUAAGUGGAAAAAGAGAGUGAUGGAGAAGACAACGAUGGUAACAAAUAUUGGAUUAUUAAAAAUUAUUGGGGAAAGGAUGGGGAGAAAAGGUUACCGUAAAAUAAGCCAAAAUGUUGUGAUACCCCAUAAGGUCCAAAAUAUCUGUUAGAAAGAUUUUCUUAUCCUAACAUAUAAGUGAAAAAAAAAUGAUGGUGAGAAUGUGUAAUAUUUUUCCACUAUUUAAUGAA